rnacentral:rRNA from 1 species
UACAGAGGUCUCAAGCGUUGUUCGGAUUCAUUGGGCGUAAAGGGUGCGUAGGCGGCGCGGUAAGUCGGGUGUGAAAUCUCGGAGCUUAACUCCGAAACUGCAUUCGAUACUGCCGUGCUUGAGGACUGGAGAGGAGACUGGAAUUUACGGUGUAGCGGUGAAAUGCGUAGAUAUCGUAAGGAAGACCAGUGGCGAAGGCGGGGUCUCUGGACAGUUCCUGACGCUGAGGCACGAAGGCCAGGGGGAGCAAACGGGG